UACGUAGGGGGCGAGCGUUGUCCGCAGUUACUGGGCGUAAAGCGCGCGUAGGCGGCUCUUUAAGUCUGGCGUGAAAGGUUCAGGGCUCAACCCGAACAGUGCGCUGGAGACUGGAGAGCUUGAGGACGGGAGAGGGAAGCGGAAUUCCGGGUGUAGCGGUGAAAUGCGUAGAUAUCCGGAGGAACACCGAUGGCGAAGGCAGCUUCCUGGCCCGUAUCUGACGCUGAGGUGCGAAAGCGUGGGGAGCGAACGGG
rnacentral:rRNA from 1 species